GAUGAACGCUGGCGGCGUGCCUAAUACAUGCAAGUAGAACGCUGAAGGAGGAGCUUGCUCUUCUGGAUGAGUUGCGAACGGGUGAGUAACGCGUAGGUAACCUGCCUGGUAGCGGGGGAUAACUAUUGGAAACGAUAGCUAAUACCGCAUGACAACAGUUAUUGCAUGAUAACUGUUUAAAAGGGGCAACUGCUCCACUACCAGAUGGACCUGCGUUGUAUUAGCUAGUUGGUGAGGUAACGGCUCACCAAGGCGACGAUACAUAGCCGACCUGAGAGGGUGAUCGGCCACAUUGGGACUGAGACACGGCCCAGACUCCUACGGGAGGCAGCAGUAGGGAAUCUUCGGCAAUGGACGGAAGUCUGACCGAGCAACGCCGCGUGAGUGAAGAAGGUUUUCGGAUCGUAAAGCUCUGUUGUAAGAGAAGAACGAGUGUGAGAGUGGAAAGUUCACACUGUGACGGUAUCUUACCAGAAAGGGACGGCUAACUACGUG
rnacentral:rRNA from 1 species